UUUGUAUUAAAAAAAAAAAAAAAAAAAAAAAAAAAGAGAAGAAAAGAAAAAGAAAAAGAAAGAUUGUACACAAAGAAAAUAAAAAGUUGUUCAAGUUUCAGUUUAAGGGUGUGAUUGGAGGUUUCAGAAGAAUCGUUGGAGAGCUUGAGUUCUUAUAAAUCUAGACAAAAGAAUUGCUUGCAAUGUAGCUUGGAACUUGUGUUUUCCUAUUCUUUCAUUUCAAUAACCCUAUCCCUAAGCCUCAUUACAUCCAAUAAAAGUCCUCUUGAUUUAAGUUUUUGCAAUUAUGACUGGAGAAGUGAUCUUUAUGCAAGCUUAUGGUAGAAAUUUCACAUUUGAUUCUUUGAGCGAAACACAUUAAAACUAAACACAUGUGUGAUUGAGUGCAUAUCCCGUGAGAAGGUCGCUAGUUUGCAUAUGAUGAUUUUAAAAAAUAAAAACUUGAAAUUGCAUUAGCAUGGCUAUCUCACACACUACACUUCAAGGAUGAUUUAAAGAUUACUGCUAAUAUUUGAAUAAGGAAGAUGAACUUGGA
rnacentral:lncRNA from 1 species